rnacentral:rRNA from 1 species
AGCGAACGCUGGCGGCAGGCCUAACACAUGCAAGUCGAACGGACCUUUCGGGGUUAGUGGCGGACGGGUGAGUAACACGUGGGAACGUGCCCUUAGGUUCGGAAUAGCUCCUGGAAACGGGCGGUAAUACCGAAUGUGCCCUUAGGGGGAAAGACUUAUCGCCUUUAGAGCGGCCCGCGUCUGAUUAGCUAGUUGGUGAGGUAAUGGCUCACCAAGGCUACGAUCAGUAGCUGGUCUGAGAGGAUGACCAGCCACAUUGGGACUGAGACACGGCCCAAACUCCUACGGGAGGCAGCAGUGGGGAAUCUUGCGCAAUGGGCGAAAGCCUGACGCAGCCAUGCCGCGUGGAUGAUGAAGGUCUUAGGAUUGUAAAAUCCUUUCACCGGUGAAGAUAAUGACUGUAGCCGGAGAAGAAGCCCCGGCUAACUUCGUGCCAGCCGCCGCGGUAA